CCAGGAGUCAGUGCCGGGAGCACGCGAGCCAGGCCGGGGGGAAGCUGCGAGAGAAAAGGAGGGGGUAGAAAGAAAGGAUAAGGUGCGUGGUGAUUGGCUGAGCCGGGUUGCCGGAGCCCGGAGCCUGCGUCUUUUGUCUGCCUUGCUCCAGCGAAGGAGCGGGAGACGGCUGCGCGCCCCAAGUAGGCCAAUCAGGAUCCAGCCGGCGCUGGCCGAAUGGUAUUCCUUUUACUUGCUUUUGCAAUUUUUUACCUCUCUUGUACAUCCCAAACUAUGUGAUGGGGAUUAAGGAGUGCGCUUGUGGUGAUGUAGAUGAGGAAAUUGAGACCCAGAGCAGUUAGGGGACUUGUUCAAAGCCACUCAGGUACUUAGUAGCAGAGCCAGUAUUAGAGCCCCAGGUCCCAACAGCCAGGACAAUGGAGAAAUCUGGCCCAUUAUCCUACCCUAACACAGGGCCUGUGGUUGGUGUUUCUCCUGAGUUCCCCCAGAAAUCUGCAAACAAGAACCAGACAAUACUAUACCCAUGAACCACUCUCUCUUUGAAAUCUCAACUCUAAUGAUGCCACUCUCUGACCUUCCUCCACCUCUUUUUUUUUUUUUUCAAGCACAGACAUGAGGGAAAAUAAUUACCAUCUAACACCACUGUAGUGAGUUGAACAGUGGCCCCCAAAAAUGAUAUAUACAAAUCCUAACCCUUCAGAAGCUCUGAAUGUGACCUUAUUUAGGAAAAGUGUCUUUGCAGAUAUAAAUUAAAGAUUUUGAGACAAGGA